rnacentral:misc_RNA from 1 species
AACGAGGCCGACCUGCGGCUGAGUUACCUGCGGAGGGAUCAUUACCGAGUUUACAACUCCCAAACCCCUGUGAACAUACCAAUUGUUGCCUCGGCGGAUCAGCCCGCUCCCGGUAAAACGGGACGGCCCGCCAGAGGACCCCUAAACUCUGUUUCUAUAUGUAACUUCUGAGUAAAACCAUAAAUAAAUCAAAACUUUCAACAAUGGAUCU